rnacentral:lncRNA from 1 species
CCUCUAAGCAGGCCAAAGGAAAAAAGAAAAUAUGAAUGGAGUAAAUAACAGUAGAGGACCUUCCAUGUCCAUUAAUUUCUCUCCUGAAUAUCUUUAAAGACAAGCACGAAAUAUAGGAGUGUAACAUUUAUUACAACAAAAAAUUGCCCUUUUUUAAACCCACCUGCCCACCCCUACGGGUUUCCGUUUACCUGCAUACGGGUAAAUAUUCAGUUUUGGAGCUGGAUUUCCGGGCGUCUUCAUCGUGUCAUCCGACUAGAAUCCAUGGGACCCACUAUCUUCAUUGCUACGUAGAUUGCCAUGACCCUCAUUUUCCUCCUCUUCUAGAUAAAAUCAAGUUAAUGCGACCUUCGAAAAGAAACUAAGUUCUUGAGUUCACUGAGUUCCCAGUUCUACAAUCGAUUGUCCAACAAUACCAAAAAGACUUUGACGUAUUACUUAGUAGAGAAGUGCUCAAUUCGAUGAUAGAGAGCAUUGAUUGAGUACUUUAGGUAUAAUAUGUUAUUAGACCAUGCUCGCAAGGCCAUUUAGACAAAAUUUUCCAUGGUUACACGUGAGAGAACGUUUUGAAGACUAAUUAAAUCAUGCAUAUGGGACCCUAUAUUUAAAUUUUUAUAUCAAGUAGUUCGACAGAAUAAACUUAUGCAUCAAGAGAAAUCUAUAUAAUUUUCAAACAAUAUGCUCGAUAGACAUAAAUCAAUAGUAAAUUUUCUUUUUAAUAUAUUUAAUUCAUUAUAACGUCCCUUGCAAGAAUACAAACACAAAUUGAGAUGUAUUACGCAUAUACAGUACAAAUUUGACAUACAUACUUCUGUGUACGUUGAUCGAAAUUAAAAAGAUGCCAUGUUUGUCCAAAAAAUAAAUGCGACAAUAUGACAUUUCACAUCCACUCAGUCCCCUCUUUAAGAUUUGGUUAGAAACCUCAGGUUCAAUGUAUGAAAUAAUGUAUAAUAUGGGCUCGUUUGGCAUGUCUUAUAAAAAGUCAAAAUGAGCUUUUGAGUUAAAUUCAUCCGGUAAAUUUUAUGAAGGUGUUUCUUUUAGAUAGAAAAUCUUUUAGGGGAAGAUGAUCUAAUGUUACUGUCCUAAAAACACUUUAAGAAUAAAAAGUCCUUUCAAAAAUUAAUUUUCAAACAAAAGUUGAGAUAACUUCUUCGAAAAGCUUUUCUACAGAAAACAAAAGUAAAAGCAAAAAUCAUACUCAUAAAGCAUCUAGAUUCUUAACAACAAUGAGAAAUCUUGUUAAUUUCGACAUUUUCUCCCGAUUUUUAACAUUUUCUACCGACCUCGAUUAUAGCUUAGGAAUAAAGCUCCCUUAAUAGACCCAAGAUGUGCAUCUAGUAGCCAGUGAGGCUUAGGCGCACAUUAUAAGUUAAAAAUUAUAAUUAUUAAAUAAUUUAUAAUUAUUAAAUAAUUUUUUUAUUGAUUAAAAAUUUAAAAUAAUAUUAAAAUAAGAAAACGUUUUUUUACCCAUUUGCCUAGCCCAAUCUUACAUUACCCUUAGCUUGGCAUCAAUGCAUCGCCACACAUUACGUCUUUUAGAACACUGCUACUACCUACUACUUCCACUUGUACGUUCGAACAUAUGUACACGAUAGUGAACCAAGCUUAAAUGUCUUGCAAGAAGAUGCAGCACGGAGUUAAUAAGAGAGGAGCAAGGUUAUUAACUAAGGGGCCCUCAAAAACAACAUAUGAGACCCUGUUUUCAGUAACAUAAACAUCCACACACUAAUUAAAGAUGUUGCAAAGGGCCUUUCAAUUUUGGCUGUUCUACCAUAAAUUUGAAACUGUCCCUCGUGUUCUUCUCUGAGGUACCUUUUGUUCUAAUAUUGUAUGGAGACAAACAAUAACUAACCUCAUUCUAAUUUGCUUGUAAUUUUUUGUUUUUCUGCAAAUUCUAAAGUAUCGGACAAAGAACUUUGGAAAAUUACAUGUCCGUGGUUAAUGCGUGUAGUUA